rnacentral:rRNA from 1 species
AGCAGCCGCGGUAAUUCCAGCUCCAAUAGCGUAUAUUAAAGUUGUUGCAGUUAAAAAGCUCGUAGUUGAAUUUCGGGAUUGACGUGACGGUCGUGCCUUAAGGGGUAUGAACUAUCACUGUCAAUUUCUCACCUUCUGGAAAAAUAUGAUGUCCUUUAUUGGAUGUCUUAUGGAUCCAGGACCUUUACCUUGAAAAAUUAGAGUGUUUAAAGCAGGCUUAUUGCUCGAAUACAUUAGCAUGGAAUAAUAAAAUAGGACGGAUUGGUUCUAUUUUGUUGGUUUCUAGGAUCACCGUAAUGAUUAAUAGGGAUAGUUGGGGGCAUUAGUAUUCAAUUGUCAGAGGUGAAAUUCUUGGAUUUAUUGAAGACUAACUACUGCGAAAGCAUUUGCCAAGGAUGUUUUCAUUAAUCAAGAACGAAAGUUAGGGGAUCGAAGACGAUCAGAUACCGU